rnacentral:rRNA from 1 species
GACGAACGCUGGCGGCGUGCUUAACACAUGCAAGUCGAACGGACAGACAGAGAGCUUGCUCUCUUGAAGUUAGUGGCGAACGGGUGAGUAACGCGUAAUCAACCUGCCCUUCAGAGGGGGAUAACAACGGGAAACCGUUGCUAAUACCGCGUACGAUUCAUGAACGGCAUCGUUUAUGAAUGAAAGGUGGCCUCUAUGUAUAAGCUAUCGCUGAAGGAGGGGAUUGGGGCUGAUUAGCUAGUUGGAGGGGUAACGGCCCACCAAGGCAAUGAUCAGGAGCCGGUCUGAGAGGAUGAACGGCCACAUUGGGACUGAGACACGGCCCAAACUCCUACGGGAGGCAGCAGUGGGGAAUCUUCCGCAAUGGACGAAAGUCUGACGGAGCAACGCCGCGUGAGUGAUGAAGGUCUUCGGAUUGUAAAGCUCUGUUAAUCGGGACGAAAGAGUUCUGCGUGAAUAAUGCAGAAAAGUGACGGUACCGGAAUAGAAAGCCACGGCUAACUACGUGCCAGCAGCCGCCGUAA